UUUAACACAUAAGAGUGACUUAACACAUUAAAUCUACAGUAUUAUAAAUAAGAUAAAAAAGCACCAACAAAUAAAGGAUAAAUACGAGAUAUUGACAAAAAAAUAUAAGUGACAAAUAAAGUCUUCGCAAACACGUGUUUAUGCCAACUAAUAUAUCCAAGCCUUAUCACAACAACUAUUUCUCUUUCAAUUUCAAUAUCGAUAUGAUCACUAUCAUCAACACAAAUAUCCAAUCUACGAGCUAGAAUUCUUGGAAUAUUACUAUUACAAUCACCAAAACCAAACUCUCUGAAAGAAUUAAAGUUGGACACCACCACACACAAAAAGAAAAAUAAAAAUACAGAAGCUCGAUCUCUUAGGUUUGGGGGAUGUGCAUAGGAUUACGUUGGGUUUUCCGGUGGCCGGAGCUUAAUAUUUCGGUUUUCCGAUGGCCGGAACUUGACUUCUUCAACACUGUCCGGUGGCUGGAUGUGUCGAUCGACGACGUUUUGUGGGUUGUGGUUUAUGUGUUUGAGUCCUUAGCUUUGGCUACCAUGCUUUGUUAUUUCUUUAUAUUUUGUGGUUGUACUUUAUAAAUAAUUAUAUAUGAAUCAAUAUAUUUCUUCAUAUUACUGUUAAUUGUUCUUAUAGAUUAAUUCUGUGUUUAAUUAUUGGGUUUCGUUUUCAUCUUUCAUUCAUCGAAAUUGUGCGUGGCAUGAAUUAUUAUGUGUAGUUUAGAGGAUUAAUUGUAAAAUUUUGUGGCUUUGCUUAAUUACCUUCUUUUUUUUUUUCUGUAGGAUUUAUUAUCAGAACGCAUUAUUAUUUCUAAGAAUGCUCAUAUGAUGAUAUUUUUUU
rnacentral:lncRNA from 1 species